rnacentral:rRNA from 1 species
AUAGACCUACGGGGCGCAGCAGUAGGGAAUUUUCGUCAAUGGGCGCAAGCCUGAACGAGCAAUGCCGCGUGAACGAGGAAGGUCUUCGGAUCGUAAAGUUCUGUUGACGGGGAAAAAAGACCGGGAAAGGGAAUGAUCCCGGAGGAGAUAUUACCCGUCGAGGAAGUCACGGCUAACUACGUGCCAGCAGCCGCGGUAAUACGUAGGUGGCGAGCGUUAUCCGGACUGAUUGGGCGUAAAGGGUGCGUAGGCGGUCGAUUAAGUCUGGCGUGAAAGGUACCGGCUCAACCGGUAUAGGCUCCGGG